rnacentral:rRNA from 1 species
UACGUAGGGUGCGAGCGUUGUCCGGAAUUAUUGGGCGUAAAGAGCUCAUAGGCGGUUUGUUGCGUCGGCUGUGAAAUCCCGAGGCUCAACCUCGGGUCUGCAGUCGAUACGAGCAAACUAGAGUGUUGCAGGGGAGACUGGAAUUCCUGGUGUAGCGGUGAAAUGCGCAGAUAUCAGGAGGAACACCGGUGGCGAAGGCGGCUCUCUGGACCGUAACUGACGCUGAGGCGCGAAAGCGUGGGGAGCAAACAGG